UGUCGCAUGGUGUAGUGGUAUGAUUCUCGCUUUGGGUGCGACAGGUCCCAGGUUCGAAUCCCGUUUCGGCCC